rnacentral:rRNA from 1 species
AAUCACUUGUCUUUNNAAUGANGACCUGUAUGAAUGGCACAACGAGGGCUUAACUGUCUCCUCUCCCAAGUCAGUGAAAUUAAUCUCCCCGUGCAGAAGCGGGGAUGUUUACAUAAGACGAGAAGACCCUAUGGAGCUUUAGACACCAAGGUGAACCAUGUCAAGCCCUCCCCACCAAAGGCCCGAACCAAAUGGACAUCACCCCCUGUCUUUGGUUGGGGCGACCACGGGGAAAUAAAAAACCCCCGCGUGGAAAGGGAGUACUACUCCUACAACUGAGAGCCUCAGCUCUAGUUAAUNGAAUUUCUGACCAACAAGAUCCGGCAAAGCCGAUCAACGAACCGAGUUACCCUAGGGAUAACAGCGCAAUCCCCUUUCAGAGG